rnacentral:lncRNA from 1 species
GAGUGGAGGAGGGGCUUGAGGAGGGGCUUGGGGCGGGGGAGGCUCUGACCACAGCACAGCGCACCAGUAACCUUGUCUGAUGUGAUCAUUAACCUCUCUGGAAAACGCAGCUGGCAGUUCUUGGAGUUUGUCAUUAGGAUGUGAGGACAGCCACACCGAUACUGCACAAGCUAUUUACAGAUUUUUUGGUUUACUUUGAGAGCUAUUGCUCCACUCGUGUGUGGCACAAAAAUGAGAUUUCAGCAAAUUUUUUGUGUAUUUUUAAUUUUCAUGAUGAGUCUCCUCCUUAUCCACGGACAGAGACCAGCUAAUUUGGCCCUGAGAAGAAAGCUACACAGACACAACUGCUUUCAGCGGAGAUGCCUGCCACUCCAUUCCCGGGUGCCCUUCCCCUGAGCCUGGAACACAGUCAACAUCCCAUCGAUAUUGCUAAAAGAAAUAAAAUGAAACCUGUACGUCUCAACAUUUAAGACCUUCUGUCAUCAGACUCCAGCAUACAUUUUCAGCUUUAUUUCUGGAUAUCACCUGCCAAGUGGAACUGAUUCCUAACUCUCCGCCAGAGACCUUUCAACUUCUAGGAACCCCUCCCUUCACUGUAUCAAGUCUGAACUUUCUCCUCCUCCUGGUUCUCUUCAAAUUUCAUUUUUAUUCUCAUGAAGCCUACUCAGACUCAAAUAAAAUAAUCUUCUGUUCUCCCAGUGAUUGUGGUUUUUUUGUUCUUUGAGGCAGGGUCUCACUGUGUAGUUCAGGCUGGCCUCAAACUCAGAGUGAUCCUCUUGCCUCAGCCUUCUGAGUGCUAAGAUUACAGGCAUGGUGAUUGUGGUAUUAUUAGUAAGUUUUUUGUUGUUUUGUUUUGUAGCCGUACUGGAGACUUGAAUCCAGGGAACACUAAGAUAUAUCUCAGCUCUUGGCUUUUUUGUUUUUGUUUUUGUUUUUGUUUUUUUUGAGAUAGGAUCUCACUAAGGUACCCUGCUGGCCUUCAACUUUGUGACCCUUCCGGUCUCAGCCUCCUAAGAAGAUAACACUGCACCCACUUACUAUUUCCUUUUAAAAACUAUCUAAUAUUGGGCCGGGGAUUUAGCUCAGUGGUUUCGCUGCCUGCUGCACAAGCGCAAGGACCCAAGUUCAAUCCCUGAUACCAAAAAAAAAAAAAAGCUAUCUACCAUAUUCUACUUUAUUUCUUUUCACUUUGUAUGUAUGUAUGCAUGUAUGUAUAUAUUUUGCAGUACCACAAAAAAUGAAACAAAAAAAAAUCAAAAUUAAAGAUAAAAUAAAAAUGCACACCACAUACCUUUUGCUUCCUUUUUUUGUCACUGAGUAAAUAAAAUUGGAUGAAAAGU